rnacentral:rRNA from 1 species
UACGUAGGGGGGCAACGUUGUCCGGAAUCAUUGGGCGUAAAGAGCGUGUAGGCGGCUCGGCAAGUCUGGUGUGAAAACUUGAGGCUCAACCUCAAGCUGUCACUGGAUACUGCCGGGAUUGAGUCCGGAAGAGGAGAGUGGAAUUCCCUGGUGUAGCGGUGGAAUGCGCAGAUAUCAGGAGGAACACCUAUGGCGAAGGCAGCUCUCUGGUACGUGACUGACGCUGAGACGCGAAAGCGUGGGGAGCGAACAGGAUUAGAAACCC